AAGCAAGACACAUAAAAGUAUUAUGGUUUCGGCCCAUAAAUAGGUAUAGACAUUAAUACCCUCGCUUU
rnacentral:tRNA from 1 species